UGAUGUCCGCUAAACGUUUUACGAGCUCCGAAAGUGGGACAAAGAGGUUCAGUCACUAAGUUAUUAAAAUUAUCUUAAAUUUUUUUUCUUCUGUUAGACGGGUCUGAAUCUACAAGAAGCUACGACAAAAGAAUACGCCACCACCGAAAACAACAAUGGAUCAUUACGCUGGAUAUCACAAGGCUAUACUAACGGAGUCUAUACCGUGUAAAUCUGAUUUACCUUUUGCUGUGCCGGCGUCAAAGGUUUAGCCUCCAUGCUCACUGAAAGCAGAGUCAUCAAUAGUCCACAAGCCACCAAAUGCGAGAUAUUCAUUUCUGCUCAGUGGCGAACUCGAAGACUGGGUUCCUUCUGGUUACAAUAAAAUCUUCGGAUCGAGGUCGGUUCUCAGCAA